UGUGCCUCUACAAAGCAGCAAUUGCCUCUGAGCCGUGGUAUUACCCAGGGCACGGGCUGGGAAUGUUGGCUGAGCUUUAGGAGAGCAGUGAGGUGUGAUGGGGUGACCGCCGGUGCCGUGUUCCUACUGUGGUGGUUGCCCACAGAUUGAACUGAACUUUAAUGGUGUCUUCAACACCUACAGCGUCUGAGUUACGAAGGCUGUGGCUGUUCUGCCUGUCAGCUCCAUCCCAGCAGCAAUUCGUGGCUGGAGUCACAAACUCUGCACUGAUACAGAGAGAGUUCAUCGUGGGCAGAGGGAUGCUGAGCAACUCAAUGGGGAUUGGGAUGCAAGCGGCGUGGAUGCAAUGCCUCUGCCUGCAGCCUCGUAUCAUCAGCUGACAAAGCCCUGCAGUCAUGCUGCUGUGAGCAGAGAUGCCCGAUCCUCUAAGGAGAUGCAGGCUUCAGCACCAAACCUCUGCCCUGUCCUGAUGGGCUCUCGUGGAGCACAGACCUUCGUGUUGGAGGUGACAUGCUGCUGAUUAAAGUGAGGACCAAGGCUGUGAAUGUUGAAACUGACAGCUCCCGGUCUCAGAGCUGGCUGUAGAAGCUGAAUCCUGCUUCCUCCAUACCACUGCAUCCUGGCUUGGCUGGAUGGGGCGAGGGCAGGGAUUUGCCCCUAAGCACCACAUUGGAGAACCCUCCCUGGAAGGAUGUGAGGUGAGAGGAGGGGCUUCCUCAUCUCCAUCCUCAUUCAUAUUACCCUUCCCAUCCUUCUCCUACCUCCGUCACCAUCCAUAACCCCAUCCCCUUCCCCAUCCAUAACCUUACCUCCCUCCCUAUCCUUAGCUUUAUUCCCAUCCAUAACUCCAUCUUCUUCCUCAUCCUCAUUUCUACCCAUAACCCCAUUCCUAUUCCCAACUCCAUCUCUACCUAUACCCCCACUCAUAUCCCCAUCUCUGUUCUCAUUCUCAUCCUUAUCCAUAACCCCACCUUAUCCCCAUCCCUUUCAGUUCUCUUUGUGCAGGAUUCUGAUGAAGGGAGGAGGAGGAGAGGCUGAGCAGCAGGCAGCUGCCUGCUCCACUGCCAUUAGCAAUGCACUCUGCUUUCUCCCCCCAUUUAGGCCAUUACUCCAGGCUCACAGGGCUGUGGUUGGCAAUGCGGGCGCCGGGCCCCACAGGGAUGCCGGCCCUGCAGUCAGCCCUCACGUCUUCCUCCGCUCUUAAGCGGCGGUAAAAGAAACCACCCCCUUGUGCCUGGAGAGCAGAGCCGUGUUAAGCCGGCUUGUUUAAAAGCACUGCAGCUUUCUUUUGGCACUGUGACAAGUGGGGACGAUGGCAAAAGGUCUCUUUUCUCGCUGCCCCGUCACUUCUUAUUGUGUGAUGCCAACAGGGCAGCGCAUCAGUGCAGCCCUCCCCGUGCACCCACAGCUCCUCCAGGUCAAUCAUAUGCACAAGACCCUGGUGAUGACAUCCUGCUGCCGAGUGCCACCUCUCCACGUCCCCAGCUCCGCUGCUGUCCCCUGGUGCUGUCUCACGUUUGGCACCUGUGCUCCCCACUUCCUCCACCCGCGCUCGCUCCUCACCCUCGCACGCCCCCGCGGGAUGAUGCACUGCGUGGAGGAGCAGCAUUAGUCACUGUUCUGUAGGAAGAAGGCUGCAAGCAGAAGAGGAGGAGGAGGAGCGCAGCCACAGUGCGGAGCCAACGACCAUCCCUCUGCAUGUGGUAGGGGCUGAAAUGAUGGCAGUGGGCUCAGGCAGUGUUCUCGGGCUGGGCAUGUGGGAAAAUCCAACUAGAAGGACCCAGAGAGGGGGAAACGGUGUGGGUGCACAGGAAGCAGAGCUGCUGAAAUGCUUCCCCUGGGAUGGAGCUGUGAACUUUCUGAGCAUCCUUUUUUCAGUAGAUGGAGCCUGGCGGGGAGAGUGAGGCUGGAGGAGAUGGGCUGCCCACGAGGCAGUGAGAUGCAUCUGGGGGCUGGGGAGAGGCCUCCCUAGAGGUGUUCCCUGGGGAUGUCCCCAGAGCCAUUCUCUGCCUGGCUCAGGACCACUGCACACUCCUGGUUGAGAAACACGAAGCUCAGCCCUGAGAUGAGUGCUGCUUAACAGCCACUUCCCUAUUUGCAGCUUUGAAGUUCUGCAGAUUGUGUUGGCAGCAGACUGGAGGAGAGAUCAACCACAGAACACCAUCUCCUUCCUUGCAAAUAAGCCUCAGUCCAGCCAGCAACAAAACAGCAGCUGCCCUAUUUCCAGGGCUGGUGGGAGUGCAAAGCCUUCUCCUUGUAUUCAUCAGCUGCUGGUUCUGCUGUAGCCUCCAACCGCAUGUAAGUCAGGACUGUGCCAUGAGAAUGGAUGGGAGGGAUGCCCAGGGAGCAUCCUUGCACCAUGAGCUGCUGCCAGGAUCUGCUCUGUGUUCUCAUGUCACACGUGUCCAUGCAUCUGCAUUUAAGCCUGUUCUUGACUUGCCCAGUACACACAGGGACACUGUGUGUGCUUCUUGCUUAUAUGUAUGUUACCUUUUUAUUGUAUCCAGACCCUCUUCCAUUGCCUAUAUCAUCAGGUUGCUGAUUGCUUUCCCCAUGGUGGGCUGGACUGUGAAGACCAUUGGGCUGCCAGUGUACCUGUCGACCCUGGGACACCAAUGCAGUGGUAGAGAGCUAAUGAAUCACAACAUCACUUACGCAUUAACUUCUUUGAAAUGCAAAGCACUCCCCUGGUAUUUCAGUCUUUUCCAUCCAGUCCAAAGCAAAACCCCAUAGAUAGAGAACAGUGGGGAGCUGCACAAGGUAACACUUCCACUUUGUGUCUGGUACAAUGAUUGCAUCAGCAUUCAUUACAAUGGAACUUGCUGCCCUUUAAAGCAGUUCGGCACAUGCUGUAUCCUCAGCUUUCCUGCUUCCGACUGGCUCUGCGCUGAACUGCUUCCUUGCAUGCAUUCAAAGCAGUUUGUAAUUAACAAUCACAUUGUUUUCCUUUGAACAUCAACAGAGAUAUAGAAAACAGAGAUUGAGAGCUGAGAUGUUGGUACGACCGGGUAUUAUUUUGCUUUCAUGAAAUGACUUUUCCUAUUUUGCUGCAAAUUUGGUGCUGAUGAAAAGCUGGGGCAGCGUGCAGGCAGCCACAAGGCUUCACUCACCAGCUCAUGGACAAAGUUCUCUCCUCUCACUAUGGGGAAGCAGGAAAUUUGGGCUUGGAUGCCCUUUUACCUUUGCCCUUGCAGAACACAUUCUGGACACCAUUGCUGCCUUCACAAAAUAGCGCUCAGCAGAAAAGCCUGCAGAGAAGGACGAGGAAAACCAAGAGUAUGUGGGCUCCUGAGCUACCCAGCAUGUUGGAGCAGAGGGGCUGUGUUUGAAGCCUUGGCUCUGUGAACAAGAAGCAGAUUACAAACUUCUUCAGUUCUGGUGCAGAGCUUGGAUGGGAGGAUUGCUCCCUCCAUCUGUUCUUCGCAUAGGCAAUCUGCCUUUGAAAGCCAUCGCUGCUUAAGUAUGGAGGAAGCGUAAAUGCAGAAGCACCUGAAUAUUGUUUAACAGAUGGGGGCACACAUUUUUCAGGCAGAGAUUUCCUUUCCAUUGCCCCACUUAUUUUAGAGGUGUUUUUCAGGACCAUCCUUCCAAUGCCUGGGAAUAGGAUCCCAGCCUGCGGUUUGUGGCGAUGGCAGUUAAUUUCCAGCAGCUAACUUUGCUGUGAAAACUCUUGUGACAUUUGUGAAAUUUGCUUUCAUCUCCUUCCCUUCCAACUGAGCUCACAUUUUUCAUCAAAGCCUUCCAGGAGGAUCACACUCCAUGCCACACGCUCCACCCUGGCAACGAAGUGGCUGGAGUUCAUCCGUGCCAUUCUGAAACACUCAAGCAAGCCUGAUGAAGCACACAGCCAGGCUGCAGCCUGUGAAUGCCUCUGCCCACAUGCACAUCUUCCCUCCCUGCAGGAGCUGCCCUUCUGUUGAUGAUGCUCGCUUGUUCUUGCCCCUUCUGCAUUAAUACAUACAGCACAGUGGCUUUCAGCUUCAUCAACCCAAGGACCACUACAAAUCUUCCAAUGGGAACGCUGUCGUAGACUGCUGAGUGGCAGAAAGGAAAUUGCUUUUCUUUGCAACUUUUUUGAUGAUUCCUUGCAAACAGAUGGUGGACCCCAUGCCUCAGGGAGCGCACAUUGAAGCCACCACCUCACUGAGUUGGUGAAACCAACAGAAAUUGUGUCAUAUGGACCCCCAUAAGGCCCAUCUACUGGGAGAAGUCACAGCUGGAGAAGAGGAGGAAGAAAGAAGUAAAAAUAUAGGCAGAGAGGAUGGACCUCAAAUUUCUCAGUUUACAUCUCACUUCCCCUUCCCAUUCUUUAGUCAUCAUAUUCUUUCUGGGAGAAAGUGGCUGUUGGAAAACAGAGAGAGAAGACGACAAACACUGCUGUGGAAUUAUUUAACGAGCCAGAAUGAAUUGCAUUUGAAAUCAUUUAAAUGGGAUCUGGGAGUAUUUAACUGCAGCACAGGAACUUAACAAGAGUGGGAAAGGAUUUUGUGCUAAUUGCUGGCAAUGAUAUACCUACGGAGAGAGAACAUGCAGCAAUUAGUAAGCAAGGCUGUAAUUUCAGCCUAAGGUCCCUGCCUGCCCUGGAAUAUGCCAUGGAUUAUCUGUUGCAAGGAAGACAGGGACUUGGUCUGCAGGUGACCGAAGGGCAGCAGAUGAGGUUCUCAUUGGGAAGUCAUUAGCCAAGAUUGUCACACAGGAGAUAGGUCUGCUCAGACCCCACUGCACCUUUCCUAACCUGACCCCAGCCCUGAAAGAACCAUCCAACACAGCGCCAGGUGAGACCAGGUGUUCUCACUAUGGGCUAAGGCAGAAAGCCACCCUGCCUGGCUGAGCCUCUGCCACCUGACUGUGGCACACAGCCUCUGACAGCCUCUGCUCAUUGUUUUCUAUCUCUGUUCUCUCCCCACGAUGCCUCUGUCUUUGGUUUUUGUCUUUCAAUCAGUUUUCAUCUCAGUAAUUCCCAUUCAAUGGUUAGUCUCUGAUCUUUCUAAUUGAGAUCAGAGCUUCAUGUAAUAGGGAGGGGGGAGGGAGACUAUUUUUAAUUUGCUACGUUCCCAUUAAUAACAAGUUCUAAUUAAAAAACCUCCAUCUUCCAUCCUCCCAAGUUCAGAGGAAAACUCUGCAACUUCUGUUGGAAUCUUCUCCUGAUAAAUUGGUACCACAGCCUCCUAGAACAGCUGGUCCUCUUUAGCAGGCAUUGUAAUUAAUGGGAAUAAUAAAUGCAUUCAAAGCAGGUUCGUAACCUUCCUUUCUGUGCACUCAGGCUUCUCUUUGCAUUGCAAGAGACACACAUCAGCAUCUCCGCAAACAGGCCCAGCAGAGCUGCCUAAUUCUAAGAAGCCCAGGUGCCAGUGGUAGUCACUGGGCUGCCACAGCCCUUGCCAUACCCUUUGUGCAGGGCUCCAUUUACACCAGCUGCUGGCUGGGGCUGCCUUGGGGUGCAGAUCAGCUGUGCUAGUGAUGGACAGACUCUUGCUCUCCCUCUUAGCUUUUGUUCAUCGCUACUGAGUUAAUGGAUUUGUCUCAGGAGCGGCCAAACCGGGAGCCAUCAGCACAGAUAUCCCCAAGAUGAGCAAUCUGUCCUGAGCAGUGAUUUCAAUUAAAGGGUCAUUAGCGUGAAAUCUUAUCCCACCCAGCUCCCAUUUGCCAGCAGGAGGUCCUUCUCCCCAUCCCAAGCCUGCUCUGCGGUUAGAGCGCGCUGCUCCUGCUGGAGCCCUCCCGUUUUGCUAAAACACAGCAGCUGCUGCUAAUAAACAAACAUAUUGAUCAUAGAGAUAUGGGCUGUCAGGGACUUAAUUCAUGAAUGAAACGUGCUGGGGAGCGCCCAGUAGGAGAGGGCUGUGCUUGGAGAGCUCGAGACCAAGAUGGUGCCUGGAGGUGGGAGCAGAGGCUGCUUAGCACUGGGGCUGGUGCUAAGAGUUCAAAGGCUGAAUUUGUUCACGGCACAGAAAGGAGCAGAGCAAAUUUCUCCUGUGUCAUUAUAGGCCAUCACUGACAGGGAGGGAGGUGUUUCGGGGGAGGGCUCCAGUUCCUUCCUACUGAAGUAUUC
ensembl:lncRNA